GAGUCGUUGCGAACAAAACUUGCAACCGUCUUCGAUGGGCCCCUUCCCGUUUAUUGUUUCAUGUGAUUUUUUACCAUUAUGUUCAUCAUUCUGUUUUCUAUAAGUUGACCGAAGAAAAACACCCAACUGCGAAGGUGAGCCGGCGGAGCCGUCGCAUUGAAAAAUCCCACCACCAGUAUAUUUUCGUUUUUUAAUUUUUUUUCGCUAAACAAGGCCCCCUAACA
rnacentral:lncRNA from 1 species